UUACUAAACCGAAGUGAAAUCCCCCCCUGUUAAACGAAAACCCUAAAUCAUGAAAUCAUGUUUUCACUGUUUCCAAACAGAAGAACAAAAGCUGCGUCGAUUCGAGAAGACGGACCAGCCACCGCACAAACGCUGCGCCGAUUUCGUUUUUUCACUGAAAUAUCACGUCCGAUUCCGUUUCAGACCACAGUUCCGACGACAGACCAGCCACCGCUAAAACGCUGCGCCGGCCACCCUCGUCAUCGAUUUCAUUUGCCGACACAAACACCGCCGCGAACCCUUCUACGAUCCCCACACCAAGCUGCAGAUCCGACGGGCUUCUCACACCAUCCAGAUCGUCGACAACCACUGUGAUAUCACCGUAGAACUGCGACCCUCUCCGUCUCCUUACACGACGUGAAAUCCAGCCUCCCACGGACGCUGACGUAAAUCCGACCCGGAUCUCCACCAAUUUCACCGUAGAGCUUUUGUCGGUCACGUGCACGCAGAAACGCGUAUAUAAUUUAAAAUUAGAUCCUUGCGGUGCUGUUCAUACAAUAAUUGGUGAUGGAGGGAACAAAGAAGGCUUAGCUCAUAAGUAAGCCUGAUUAUAUUCUCUUAAUCAUUAUUACACCAUAAAAGAUAUUGAGGUUGCUUUCAAAUUCAACCUUUGAGUUUUCUUUAUCCCUUUUAUUGUGCCGUUUAAGAUUCUUAGAUAAUUCUUAAGAUUUGUACGGCUGUGUCGUUGAUGUUUAGCAGGUAUAUAGAUCCACCUCCAAAGUGGUCAGAAUUUCGUGAAGCAAGUUUUGGUCAUGGUCAGAAUUUCGUGCACUUGUGACACCCUUAAAUCCUUUGAUCUUUAUUUCCUCAACAAUGGAUUAGUAAAGAGUUAGGUUGUGAAUUUAAAUCAUGCAAAAAGUAUUCAGAUUAAUAUAUAGUAAUAUCAGUUUGAGGUUAUUUUAGAAACUCAUUAGCGCAUAAUAUUGCUUUCCCCAAGAAAUAUUGAUGCAGGAACUCAAAAUCUACCUACUAUUAAAAUGGGGGAAAGUAGUCAAAAUAUUAACUGAUGUUCUUUAUUAAAACCCCUGCUUUAUGAUUUUGCAUUUUCAGGAUAACAUUGGCGUCAUUAUGGACCAAAACGGAAAACUUCGCUCAUAAGGUUCGAUCUCUCCGAGGUCCAUAUCCAUUGAUAUGAACAGUAGUUUUUUGAAAUGUACGCCAUCUUCACUAGAGCAAUAAUUCAGUGAUUAUUGCUUUAGAAAACACAGUUCAUGGCCUCUUUCCUGUUCCUCUUGGAGUCCAGAUUGUCUAAUUAACAGCCACUGGUAACUUCAAAGAAGCUUUGUCAUUGUGCAAGCUCCUUCCACCUGAAGAAUCAAAUCUUCGUGCUGCAAAGGAGGGUUCAAUUUAUAUAAGGAUUCUCUAGUUGAAGAAGCUGAAAAAGGUGUCUUUGUUCCACAUGGAAGUAACGAUAUCUUAACAGCAGUCAUUGUAGUAGUAAACCGUGUAAACCUUUUUUUAUCAUUUUGUACACUUGUGUAUCCGAGAUUAAUACUUUUGUAUAUUUUGACAAAUAUAUAUAUAUAU